rnacentral:rRNA from 1 species
AGUCGAGCGAAAGAUAAGGAGCUUGCUCCUUUGAAGUUAGCGGCGGACGGGUGAGUAACACGUGGGUAACCUACCUAUAAGACUGGGAUAACUUCGGGAAACCGGAGCUAAUACCGGAUAACAUUUAGAACCGCAUGGUUCUAAAGUCAAAGAUGGUUUUGCUAUCACUUAUAGAUGGACCCGCGCCGUAUUAGCUAGUUGGUAAGGUAACGGCUUACCAAGGCGACGAUACGUAGCCGACCUGAGAGGGUGAUCGGCCACACUGGAACUGAGACACGGUCCAGACUCCUACGGGAGGCAGCAGUAGGGAAUCUUCCGCAAUGGGCGAAAGCCUGACGGAGCAACGCCGCGUGAGUGAUGAAGGGUUUCGGCUCGUAAAACUCUGUUAUUAGGGAAGAACAAAUGUGUAAGUAACUGUGCACAUCUUGACGGUACCUAAUCAGAAAGCCACGGCUAACUACGUGCCAGCAGCCGCGGUAAUACGUAGGUGGCAAGCGUUAUCCGGAAUUAUUGGGCGUAAAGCGCACGUAGGCGGUUUCUUAAGUCUGAUGUGAAAGCCCACGGCUCAACCGUGGAGGGUCAUUGGAAACUGGGAAACUUGAGUGCAGAAGAGGAAAGUGGAAUUCCAUGUGUAGCGGUGAAACGCGCAGAGAUAUGGAGGAACACCAGUGGCGAAGGCGACUUUCUGGUCUGUAACUGACGCUGAUGUGCGAAAGCGUGGGGAUCAAACAGGAUUAGAUACCCUGGUAGUCCACGCCGUAAACGAUGAGUGCUAAGUGUUAGGGGGUUUCCGCCCCUUAGUGCUGCAGCUAACGCAUUAAGCACUCCGCCUGGGGAGUACGACCGCAAGGUUGAAACUCAAAGGAAUUGACGGGGACCCGCACAAGCGGUGGAGCAUGUGGUUU